AUGCAAGUAGAACGCUGAAGGAGGAGCUUGCUCUCUCUGGAUGAGUUGCGAACGGGUGAGUAACGCGUAGGUAACCUGCCUGGUAGCGGGGGAUAACUAUUGGAAACGAUAGCUAAUACCGCAUAACAGUAGAUGUUGCAUGACAUUUGCUUAAAAGGUGCAAUUGCAUCACUACCAGAUGGACCUGCGUUGUAUUAGCUAGUUGGUGGUGUAACGGCUCACCAAGGCGACGAUACAUAGCCGACCUGAGAGGGUGAUCGGCCACACUGGGACUGAGACACGGCCCAAACUCCUACGGGAGGCAGCAGUAGGGAAUCUUCGGCAAUGGACGGAAGUCUGACCGAGCAACGCCGCGUGAGUGAAGAAGGUUUUCGGAUCGUAAAGCUCUGUUGUAAGAGAAGAACGAGUGUGAGAGUGGAAAGUUCACACUGUGACGGUAUCUUACCAGAAAGGGACGGCUAACUACGUGCCAGCAGCCGCGGUAAUACGUAGGUCCCGAGCGUUGUCCGGAUUUAUUGGGCGUAAAGCGAGCGCAGGCGGUUAGAUAAGUCUGAAGUUAAAGGCUGUGGCUUAACCAUAGUACGCUUUGGAAACUGUUUAACUUGAGUGCAAGAGGGGAGAGUGGAAUUCCAUGUGUAGCGGUGAAAUGCGUAGAUAUAUGGAGGAACACCGGUGGCGAAAGCGGCUCUCUGGCUUGUAACUGACGCUGAGGCUCGAAAGCGUGGGGAGCAAACAGGAUUAGAUACCCUGGUAGUCCACGCCGUAAACGAUGAGUGCUAGGUGUUAGACCCUUUCCGGGGUUUAGUGCCGUAGCUAACGCAUUAAGCACUCCGCCUGGGGAGUACGACCGCAAGGUUGAAACUCAAAGGAAUUGACGGGGGCCCGCACAAGCGG
rnacentral:rRNA from 1 species